GAGUUUGAUCAUGGCUCAGAUUGAACGCUGGCGGCAGGCCUAACACAUGCAAGUCGAGCGGUUGAGGUAGCUUGCUACCGAUGCAGCGGCGGACGGGUGAGUAAUACAUGGGAAUCUGCCUGGUAGUGGGGGACAACGUUUCGAAAGGAACGCUAAUACCGCAUACGUCCUACGGGAGAAAGCAGGGGACCUUCGGGCCUUGCGCUAUCAGAUGAGCCUAGGUCGGAUUAGCUAGUUGGUGGGGUAAAGGCCUACCAAGGCGACGAUCCGUAGCUGGUCUGAGAGGACGACCAGCCACACUGGGACUGAGACACGGCCCAGACUCCUACGGGAGGCAGCAGUGGGGAAUAUUGGACAAUGGGGGCAACCCUGAUCCAGCGACGCCGCGUGUGUGAAGAAGGCCUGCGGGUUGUAAAGCACUUUUAGUGGGGAUGAAAAGCCGAAGGCUAAUACCUUUCGGUCUUGACCUAACCCAAGAAAAAGCACCGGCUAACUCUGUGCCAGCCG
rnacentral:rRNA from 1 species